UACGAAGGGGGCUAGCGUUGCUCGGAAUCACUGGGCGUAAAGGGUGCGUAGGCGGGUCUUUAAGUCAGGGGUGAAAUCCUGGAGCUCAACUCCAGAACUGCCUUUGAUACUGAAGAUCUUGAGUUCGGGAGAGGUGAGUGGAACUGCGAGUGUAGAGGUGAAAUUCGUAGAUAUUCGCAAGAACACCAGUGGCGAAGGCGGCUCACUGGCCCGAUACUGACGCUGAGGCGCGAAGGCCGGGGGAGCGAACGGG
rnacentral:rRNA from 1 species